CUGACAGGUAGUGAUGUCCUGCCGUGUGUCGUGCCAGUAGAGACUAGGCAUGGUCCUCCAGUGGCGGUAGAGGCGUGUGUGCAACACAGACAGCGUGAGGAGAACCAGCAAGAAGCCCAGUGCCGCUGCAGCCCACACCGCCUCAUCGGACCUGGGGUGCCUCAGCAAGCCGUUGCCUGCAAGCGAGGCCCGGCCCUUAGAGUCUUCCUUGCAAGCACACUGUUGGUCUUGGAUGCAGCUACCACAGUCAGGGAGGCGAGGGGAGCAGUGAACAGCAGUGGGCAGCAGCGGUGGCCGCGCCCGGGAAUCAUUUUGGUGAUUUAACCCCCAAUUCCAACCCUUGAUGCUGAGUGCCAAGCAGGGAGGCAAUGAGGUAUGUUUCCUGACCGUGGAUUCACUGAGCCAUGGAUGUGGGCUGAUGAUGUAGUCAGGCAGACAGGAGUUGGCCAGGAUGGACAGAAAGAGCCGCUCGCUGACAGCAGCACAGGGAUGAUAGAGCAAUACAGCAGCUUCAUGCUGGAAACACACAACAAACACAACCAAAAGGAGGUCGCAAGAGCCAUCCAUCCAUUUUCAACACAGCUUGUCCUCCUGGAGCCUAUCUCGGCUGACUUUGGCCAGAAUUGUAAGCAUGUGUACCAAGAUAAUGAUGAUACCUACUGUAUCCAUGGUUACCUGAGUGGAGUCAGACCAGGCAGAUACCGGACAUGCCGUAUAG